UUUUUUUUUUUUAAAGGCUGCACUAGCCGCAUAUGGAGGUUCCCAGGCUAGGGGUUGAAUCAGAGCUGUAGCUGCUGGCCUACACCACAGCAACACCAGAUCCAAACUGCAUCUUCGACCUACACCACAGCUCACAGCAACUCCAUAUCCUUAACCCACUGAGCAUGGCCAGGGAUCAAACCUGUGUCCUCAUGGAUGCUACUCAUUUUCUGAUUGGGUUGUUUUUCUAUAAUUGAGUUGAAUGAGGUAUUUGUGUAUUUUGGAAGUUGAACCUUCAUCAGCUGUAUCAUUUGCAAAUAUUUUCUCCCAGUCUGUAGGUUGUCUUAUUUUGUUUACGGUUUCCUUUGCUGUACAAAAGCUUAUAAGUUUGAUUAGGUCUCAUUUGUUUAUUUUUGCUUUUAUUUCUAUUGCCUUAGGAGACUGACCUAAGAAAAUACUGGUACAAUUUAUGUCAGAGAAUGUUUUGCCUAUGUUCUCUUCUAAGAGUUUUAUGGUGUCAUUUCUUAUAUUUAAGUCUUUAAGUCAUUUUGAGUUAUUUCUGUGUAUGCUGUGAAGUUGUAUUCUGACUUCAUUGUUUGACAUGCAACUGUCCAGCUUUCCCAACACCACUUGCUGAAGAGACUGUCUUUUCUCCAUUUUAUAUUUUUGCCCCCUUUGUCAAAGAUUAAUUAACCAUAGGUAUGGGGUUUAUUUCUGGGCCUUCUAUUCUGUUCAGAAUGUCUGCUUUUGUGCCAUGCCCUGCUGUUUUGAUUACUAUAGCUUUGUAGUAGCAUCUGAAAUCAAAACACUAGAUUUUAAAGAUAUAGUAUAAAAAAUGUAAAAUAUUUCUAUACUGAUUGCCUGUUAAAAUAACAUUUUAGAUAUAUUGGGUAAAUAAAACUAUUACUUUUAUAAAAAGUUUUAAAGAAAAAAAACAAAGAUUAAUAAGGCACUUAUAUAAAGAUGACUCAAACUCAUAAAGCAUUUCAUAUUUUUCCAGUACCUUCACCACAGUGUCUGACACUUAAUAAUCUCAAAAAAAUAUUUCUUUGAAUGACUGAUGGGAUCCUCACUAAUGUAGUAGAGCAGAAACAGUGUAAACAUUAGAGCCUAGAACAUCUAAGUCCAAAUCUCAUCUCUAAUACUUUUUUUUUUCUUUUUGUGGCCACUCCGGCAAAAUAUGGAAGCUCCUGGGCUGGGGUCAAAUUGGAGCUGCAGCUGCCAGCCUAUGUCACUGCCACACCCUCACCUGAUCUGAGUCUGCAUCUGCAAUCUACACCACAGCAUGCAGCAGCACUGGAUCCUUAACCCACUGAACAAGGCCAGGAAUCAAACUGCAUCCUCACAGACACCAUAUCAGGGUCUUAACCCACUGAGCUACACCAGGAAUUCAUCAUCUCUAACAGUUAUCAACUCUGAGAUCUGGGGGAAAUUAGGCUAAAAAUGACUCCUUCAAAGAUGUCUAACUUCUUGUCCCCGGAAUCUGUGAAUACGUCACUUUAGAUAAUAAAAGGGACUUUGUAGAUUAGGUUAAAUUAAGGAUCUUGAGAUAGAGAGAUUAGCUUGGACUAUCCAUCUAGGCCCACUGUGAUUACAAGGGUCCUCAUAAGAGGAAAGCAGGAAGGUCAAAGUCAAAUAUGAAGAUGGAAUGAUGGAAGCAAAGAUUUGAGGAAUGUAGCUCUGCUGAAACCUUGAUUUCAGGACUCCUAACUUCAGUACUGGAAGAGAAUACAUUUGUGAUGUUUUAAACCAUUAACAUUGUGGUAAUUAGCACAAGUGGAAACUAAUUCAAGUACUCUGAGCCUUCAUUUCUUCUGGGGAAAACUGAAGUACUAUAUAUGUACUAGGAGGAUUAAACACCAUUUUAGAGCACUAGGCACAUAGUCUGCACUCAAAAAGUGGUAGCUGCUCUGACACUCACUGUUUUGUUUGAGGUACAGCUCAUCACUAAUUAAAAGCCUGAGCUCAGGAGUCAGACAGACAGGUAUUCCUCUGCAGGCUCCACCACUGAUUGAUUCUAGGUUUCCUCAUUUGCAAAAUGGAGUUAAGGGUAGGCACAUAUCAUAACACUGUUGUGAGGAUUAAUUAAAACAUUUCAUAUGAAUACUGAGCCUCAUUCCUGACACAAAGUUAGUGCAUCAUAAAUGUUGGCUCCAAUGACCACUGCUGAUCCUGCUUCUACUGUUUGUUUUCACGACUACACCACUGACGCACCCAAAACCAUCUCCGUAAUUUAAAAAGAUGUUCUGUAAUUUCCUGCUACCAUAUGACUAGAUCUUGCCAUGGUCACUCAUUCUGAACUUCAAAGACCAAAGUUGGCCUGGGGCUCAAACUGUCGCUCUACCCUGAGCUCACCCAGAUUUAACCUUAACCAUUAAUUCCUCCCCUUGCAUUCCAAAGAGAAAAAAGUAUCUUUAUUAAAAUAGCCAAGCUAGGCUUCAGUAAAUAUUAACAAAUACUAAAACUAAAAACAAUAAUGCUUUUAGCUUUAGUAAACCAAACCCUUAAGAAACAAUUACAUUUUUCUUUCUUGUCCUGAGCAUGUCUUUACCAGCUUAUCCUCAGCUGGCCUUUCAAUAAUUUAAAAUAUAUAUUCUAAAUUUUUGAUAAAUCAUGAAGAGUGCCUUAAAAAGCCCCUGUUUCAAUACUCCUGUUAAACUCAUACAGUUAUAAAUUACAGGGUUUUUUGGUCACACCCACAGCAUGUGGAAGUUUCUAGGCCAGGGAUCAAACCUGUGACACAGCAAUGACCCUAGCUGCUGCAGUGACAACACUGGAUCCCUAAUCCACUACAUCACAGGGGAACGUCUAACUAUGAAUUAAAUAUAAACUAUAAUAAAUAUAAAUCAAAAUACUCAAUGUGCAUAGCCAUAACACUACUAAUUUUAAAACACUAGUUUUAAAAUGAGAAAUUGAAAAAAUAAAGGGAAUUUCUGAUUCAUCAAAUUUUCUUCUGAUAGUAUGUUCAUCACCAUCACUGUCACCAUGAAAAACCAGAAAAAGGAAAAGAACAUUCUACGUACACAAAAACUAUUCAUUUUCUAUUUUAAAUGGAAGGUUUUUACAUAUUUACAUUUGUAUCCACUGACAUUAACAAGAGUUUGUCAAUAUAGGAAAUGUAUUUUUCAACUGCCUAGUUCAAUUUGAACUAUUAGGGUAUAUAUACUUUGUCAACCAAAUGAGGACACUUUUGAGAGUAGAAAGAGGCACUUUUAAUAAUAGUAUCAGGAAACAGAUAAGGAACUAUGAUGGACAUGUGCUCAACAUGGUCCUCCUUAGUUGAAUGGAUGUGACAUCAUCUGGGUGGGGGAAGCUAGAGCAGGAGGGAGAAGACACUAGCACGAUAUUAUCUUAAUCCCACCUCUAUGGCUGGUGUCAAAGUGUCCUUUAAGGGGUUGCUUGGCUUGCUGGGUUUUAGGCUAACUUAGAACAGGAACCAGAAGAAAAGAAAAUCAGAGGAUUUUAGAUACUCAUUACCAUUCUUCCCAUCCCCAUGAUUAUCUUCUCUCGUGCUCUGUUUCUCACGUAAUGUCACAUUUAUUAUUCAACACACUUUGCUUUACAAUCGAUUAUGUGCUAGGUAACUUAGGGACACAUAUGAGUUCUUAAAGAGCAGCAAAUCAUGUACAAGAGGCAUUUAAACAUGAGCAUUCCUGUUACUCUCACACCAGUGUUUGCCUGGUUGUAUAAUAUAAGUGACAUUUGGGAAUGUGUGUAUAGAGUAGAUAGCAUGUGUGACAGAAGGCCUAAAAAUUCUAAUGGAAUAAGAGAAGCAUUUCUUGAGGGCGAAACCCCUAAAAUAAGAACCAACCCUCUAGACAUGUGGAGCAGAGGACACAAAAUUAAAAGGGCCAGAAUCUUGAGUACUUGGUGCUGAGGAAAACUGUAAGCAUUUUUUUUUUUUUUUUUUUUUUUUUUUUUUUUUUUGGCUGCACACACAGCAUAAGGAAGUUCCUGAGCCAGGGGUCAAAUCCAAGCCACGGCUGCAGCCCAUGACACAGCUGCAGCCACACUGAAUGCACCCACUGUGCCAGGCUGGGGACAGAACCCACACCCCACAGAGCUAACACCAAUCCUUAACCCGCUGCACCACAGAGGGCACACCCAACUGUGGGAUGGGACAGUGAGGCAGAAAAUGGACAGGAAGGCUUUUUUUCAAAGUUCAAAGAGAUUCUCAGGUUGAGAGCCACUGAGAUAGGAAGGUUCUUAAACCAGAAUUAGGAAAGGGGGCGGGGGGUGAGCAGUUGGAAUGUGGAUGAUAGAAUGGACGGUGAAGGGAUGACGUACACAGAUGUAGAAUUUAGACAUAUCAGAGUUUUCUGAAUUGGUCCACUGUUUUAAUUUUGAUGACAUUUAACUGUACCAGAUAAGGUUUUGGAAGACUUCACUCAAGGAACAAGAUAUUUCUCAUAAAAAAAUUAUACAUAUAUAUACAUAUAUAAUACACACACAUAUAUUAAGUUCUACUUUAACUCGAACAGGAAUUUGGAAGUUGCUGACAUUUCCAGCUUUUGAGUCUAAGAAUUUAUUACCUCCAGAGUCUCUUCCAGGGGUGGGGGGGAAUAUGGAGGGGUAGCGCUAACCCUUUGAUGAUACACACAUAAAGCAACGCCCAAACCCCCUCUGGAGAAGAUACUAUAGAGUGAUACAUCAAGCAUUUGGCAGUGCCUACAGCAGAAUGCUUUUGUUUUUCUUUAGUAAUGACUUGUAAGUGGAGAGUUCAGGAUAACUGAAUGGAAAGUCUCCUCUUUUCCAGAUUUGACAACUAAAGACCACAGCUGAGCAUAAGCCUGAUAUUGAAAGGACACAAGGCCUGUCUCUCCCGCUUAUUUCCAGACAUCUA
rnacentral:lncRNA from 1 species